GUAUUGUAUUGCGUUAAACGCAGAUGCAUUCCAUGAGACUUUGUUACAGUGUGUGUGUAAAGAUGCAGAACCACAGCAGGAGGACAGGUCCCCCCAACCACAGAACUACAGAGGGUGCACAGGUGUGAGUGGAUGUGUAAACAGAGCGUGCACAUGCCCCCAUACAGGGGCCAGCAACAACCCUUGUUGACAAUUCGGUAAUGAUCCUUCCGCAGGUUCACCUACGGAAA
rnacentral:misc_RNA from 1 species